rnacentral:rRNA from 1 species
CCUACGGGUGGCAGCAGUGGGGAAUAUUGCGCAAUGGGCGAAAGCCUGACGCAGCGACGCCGCGUGAGGGAUGAAGGUCUUCGGAUCGUAAACCUCUGUCAGCAGGGAAGAACGGUCACUGUGCUAAUCAGCAGUGAAUUGACGGUACCUGCAAAGGAAGCACAGGCUAACUCCGUGCCAGCAGCCGCGGUAAUACGGAGGGUGCGAGCGUUAAUCGGAAUUACUGGGCGUAAGGCGCUCGUAGGCGGUAUGUCAAGUCAAGGGUGAAAUCCCCGCGCUCAACGUGGGAACUGCCGUUGAAACUGGCAGACUGGAGUGUGGGAGAGGAGAGUGGAAUUCCAGGUGUAGGAGUGAAAUCCGUAGAUAUCUGGAGGAACAUCAGUGGCGAAGGCGACUAUCUGGCACAUAACUGACGCUGAGGAGCGAAAGCGUGGGUAGCAAACAGGAUUAGAUACCCUGGUAGUC